rnacentral:rRNA from 1 species
AUGGCCAUGACUGGGCUGCUCGCGCUUCUCGUCGCGGCCGGGGCCGCGGUUGCGGCGGACGCCAAGCCGUACAGCCCGACGGACUCCAUCCUGCUCAACUGCGGUUCCACGGCGGACGGCCUUGACGCGGACGGGCGCAAGUGGCUGGCGGACACCAACAACAACAUGUGGCUGGGCGACUCCGGCAAGUCGUCCCUGAUGGCGGCGGCGGACGAGCUGGACUCGUCGCUGCCGUCGACGAUCCCCUACAUGACGGCGCGCGUCUUCACGGUGGACACGGUGUACAACUUCACGGUGAACCCCAAGGACCGGCACUGGCUCCGCCUCCACUUCUACCCGUCGUCCUACAACGGGAUCGCGCCCGAGGACUUCCGCUUCUCCGUCUCCACCUCCACGGGCCUCACCCUCCUCCGCAACUUCAGCGUGUGGGUCACCACCAAGGCGCUCACCCAGGCCUACAUCGUCCGGGAGUUCUCGCUCCCGCGGACGCCCGCGGGGUUCAUCGCCGUCACCUUCACCCCCACGCCCACGCCCAUGACCAACGUCACCUACGCCUACAUCAACGGCCUGGAGCUCAUCUCCAUGCCCGACAUCUUCGAGGACCCCGCCACCAUGGUGGGCUUCGCCGACCAGACCGUUGACAUCGCCGCCUCCUCCUUCCAGACCAUGUACCGCUUCAACAUCGGCGGGGGUUACAUCCCGCCCUCCAACGACUCCGGCCUCGCCCGCUCCUGGUUCGACGACACGCCCUACGUCUUCGGCGUCAUGCAGGGGGUCAGCUACACGGCCGGCCCCCGCUUCCACGUCAAGUACCCCACCGAGGCGUCCGAGUACGCCGCCCCCGUCGAGGUCUACCUCGGCACCCGCUCCAUGGGCUCCGACCCGCGCGUCAACCAGAACUACAACCUCACCUGGACCAUGGAGGUGGACGGCAACUUCACCUACGUCGUCCGCCUCCACUUCUGCGAGCUCCUGCUCAACAGGCCCAAUCAGCGCGCCUUCGACAUCUACAUCAACAACAAGACGGCGCAGUCCGACGCCGACGUCAUCGAGAUGACGUCCGAGCGUGGCGUGCCCGUGUACAAGGACUUCGCCGUGCACAUGGCCGACGACCCCGGGGAUGAGGUCAUGUGGGUGGCCAUGCACCCCUCCGUGGCGCUCAGGCCCCAGUUCUACGACGCCAUCCUCAACGGCCUCGAGGUCUUCAAGCUCAACGACAGCGCCGCCAACCUGGCCGCGCCGGACCCCGUACCGUCCAAGAUGCUCGCGGAGGCGGAGCUGAGCGAGAGUGAGAAGGAAAGGUCCAAGAAGUCCAAGGACCAGGCAAACAUGGCGACGGUCAUAGGUGGCACGGCGGGCGGCGCCGCUGCGGUGGGGAUCGUCGCGGCCAUCUGCCUGGUGGUCUACCACAACAAGAAGAACAGGGAGCUCACCGGCAGCGACUCGCACAACUCCGGCUGGCUGCCCAUGUACCACUCUACAACCAGCGGCAAGUCGUCCGGCCACCUCGCGGCGAACCUGGCGGGCAUGUGCCGGCACUUCUCCAUCGCGGAGAUAAAGACGGCGACCAAGAACUUCAGCGAGUCGCUGGUGAUCGGCGUGGGCGGGUUCGGGAAGGUGUACCGCGGCGUGGUGGACGGCGACACCAAGGUGGCCAUCAAGCGGUCCAACCCGUCGUCGGAGCAGGGCGCGCUGGAGUUCCAGACGGAGAUCGAGAUGCUGUCCAAGCUGCGGCACCGGCACCUCGUCUCCCUCAUCGGCUUCUGCGAGGAGAGCAACGAGAUGGUCCUCGUCUACGACUACAUGGAGCACGGCACGCUGCGGGAGCACCUCUACAACAAGGGCAGCAACCCGCCGCUGUCGUGGCGGCACCGCCUCGACAUCUGUAUCGGCGCCGCGCGGGGUUUGCACUACCUCCACACCGGCGCCAAGUACACCAUCAUCCACCGCGACGUCAAGACCACCAACAUCCUCGUGGACGAGAACUGGGUCGCCAAGGUCUCCGACUUCGGCCUCUCCAAGUCCGGCUCCUCCACGGUGAACCAGGCGCACGUCAGCACCAUGGUCAAGGGGAGCUUCGGAUACCUCGACCCGGAGUACUUCCGGCGGCAGCAGCUCACCGACAAGUCGGACGUCUACUCCUUCGGCGUCGUGCUGUUCGAGGUGCUCAUGGCGCGGCCGGCGCUGAGCCCGCAGCUGCCGCGGGACCAGGUCAGCCUCGCCGACUAUGCGCUCAGCUGCCAGCGGAAGGGCACCCUGCCGGACGUCGUCGACCCGACCAUCAAGGACCAGAUCGCGCCAGAGUGCCUCAUCAAGUUCGCCGAGACGGCGGAGAAGUGCCUAGCCGACCAAGGCUUGGAGCGGCCGUCCAUGGGCGACGUGCUGUGGAACCUCGAGUUCGCGAUGCAGCUGCAGGACGCGUUCGACGGCGCUAGCGGGCGACGGCAGGCCCAAGACGACGGGAGCGGCAGUGGGCGCCCGGUGCUCGAGCCCAGCAACAGCUAUGGGAGCACCGCUAGCGUAACGACGAUCGGGACGUCGUCCACGUCCAGGGCGCACGACGCUUGCGUCGUAAUAGAGGAGGAGGACGACGACAUAACCAACCGCGCGGCCUUCUCGCAGCUCGUGCAACCCACCGGGCGGUGA